rnacentral:rRNA from 1 species
AACGUAGGACGCAAGCGUUAUCCGGAAUUACUGGGCGUAAAGCGCACGUAGGCGGUUUGUCGCGUCUGCCGUGAAAGUCCGGGGCUCAACUCCGGAUCUGCGGUGGGUACGGGCAGACUAGAGUGAUGUAGGGGAGACUGGAAUUCCUGGUGUAGCGGUGAAAUGCGCAGAUAUCAGGAGGAACACCGAUGGCGAAGGCAGGUCUCUGGGCAUUAACUGACGCUGAGGAGCGAAAGCAUGGGGAGCGAACAGG